rnacentral:rRNA from 1 species
GAUCAACGCUGGCGGCGUGCCUAAUACAUGCAAGUCGAGCGAACAGAUAAGGAGCUUGCUCCUUUGACGUUAGCGGCGGACGGGUGAGUAACACGUGGGUAACCUACCUAUAAGACUGGGAUAACUUCGGGAAACCGGAGCUAAUACCGGAUAACAUUUGGAACCGCAUGGUUCUAAAGUGAAAGAUGGUUUUGCUAUCACUUAUAGAUGGACCCGCGCCGUAUUAGCUAGUUGGUAAGGUAACGGCUUACCAAGGCGACGAUACGUAGCCGACCUGAGAGGGUGAUCGGCCACACUGGAACUGAGACACGGUCCAGACUCCUACGGGAGGCAGCAGUAGGGAAUCUUCCGCAAUGGGCGAAAGCCUGACGGAGCAACGCCGCGUGAGUGAUGAAGGGUUUCGGCUCGUAAAACUCUGUUAUUAGGGAAGAACAAACGUGUAAGUAACUGUGCACGUCUUGACGGUACCUAAUCAGAAAGCCACGGCUAACUACGUG